rnacentral:rRNA from 1 species
AUGCACGCUGGCGGCGUGCCUAAUACAUGCAAGUCGAACGAAACUUCUUUAUCACCGAGUGCUUGCACUCACCGAUAAAGAGUUGAGUGGCGAACGGGUGAGUAACACGUGGGCAACCUGCCCAAAAGAGGGGGAUAACACUUGGAAACAGGUGCUAAUACCGCAUAACCAUAGUUACCGCAUGGUAACUAUGUAAAAGGUGGCUAUACUACCGCUUUUGGAUGGGCCCGCGGCGCAUUAGCUAGUUGGUAGGGUAUAGGCUUACCAAGGCAAUGAUGCGUAGCCGAAUUGAGAGGUUGAUCGGCCACAUUGGGACUGAGACACGGCCCAAACUCCUACGGGAGGCAGCAGUAGGGAAUCUUCCACAAUGGGCGAAAGCCUGAUGGAGCAACGCCGCGUGGGUGAAGAAGGUCUUCGGAUCGUAAAACCCUGUUGUUAGAGAAGAAAGUGCGUGAGAGUAACUGUUCACGUUUCGACGGUAUCUAACCAGAAAGCCACGGCUAACUACGUG